GAGGGUACAGCUCAGUGGUAGAGUGCGUGCUUAGCAUGUGUGAGGUCCUGGGUUCAAUCCCAGUACCUCUU
rnacentral:tRNA from 1 species